rnacentral:rRNA from 1 species
UACGUAGGGGGCUAGCGUCGUCCGGAUUUAUUGGGCGUAAAGAGCGUGUAGGCGGCCAGGUAGGUCUGCUGUGAAAACUCGAGGCUCAACCUCGAGACGUCGGCGGAAACCAUCUGGCUAGAGUCCGGAAGAGGAGAGUGGAAUUCCUGGUGUAGCGGUGAAAUGCGCAGAUAUCAGGAAGAACACCCGUGGCGAAGGCGGCUCUCUGGGACGGUACUGACGCUGAGACGCGAAAGCGUGGGGAGCGAACAGG